rnacentral:rRNA from 1 species
ACGGCUCAGUAACACGUGGAUAACCUGCCCUUGGGUCCGGCAUAACCCCGGGAAACUGGGGAUAAUUCCGGAUAACGCACAUAUGCUGGAAUGCUUUAUGCGUAAAAUGGAUUCGUCUGCCCAAGGAUGGGUCUGCGGCCUAUCAGGUAGUAGUGGGUGUAAUGUACCUACUAGCCGACGACGGGUACGGGUUGUGAGAGCAAGAGCCUGGAGAUGGAUUCUGAGACAUGAAUCCAGGCCCUACGGGGCGCAGCAGGCGCGAAAACUUUACAAUGCGGGAAACCGUGAUAAGGGGACACCGAGUGCCAGCAUCAUAUGCUGGCUGUCCAGAUGUGUAAAAUACAUCUGUUAGCAAGGGCCGGGCAAGACCGGUGCCAGCCGCCGCGGUAACACCGGCGGCCCGAGUGGUGAUCGUGAUUAUUGGGUCUAAAGGGUCCGUAGCCGGUUUGGUCAGUCCUCCGGGAAAUCUGAUAGCUCAACUAUUAGGCUUUCGGGGGAUACUGCCAGACUUGGAACCGGGAGAGGUAAGAGGUACUACAGGGGUAGGAGUGAAAUCUUGUAAUCCCUGUGGGACCACCUGUGGCGAAGGCGUCUUACCAGAACGGGUUCGACGGUGAGGGACGAAAGCUGGGGGCACGAACCGGAUUAGAUACCCGGGUAGUCCCAGCCGUAAACGAUGCUCGCUAGGUGUCAGACAUGGCGCGACCGUGUCUGGUGCCGCAGGGAAGCCGUGAAGCGAGCCACCUGGGAAGUACGGCCGCAAGGCUGAAACUUAAAGGAAUUGGCGGGGGAGCAC